rnacentral:tRNA from 1 species
UCCUGCUUAGCUCAGUCGGUAGAGCGCUCCACUGGAAAUGGAGCGGACCCUGGAUCGAUAGCAGGAC